rnacentral:rRNA from 1 species
UGGGGAAUAUUGGACAAUGGGGGGAACCCUGAUCCAGCCAUGCCGCGUGUGUGAAGAAGGCCUUAUGGUUGUAAAGCACUUUAAGCGAGGAGGAGGCUACUAGUAUUAAUACUACUGGAUAGUGGACGUUACUCGCAGAAUAAGCACCGGCUAACUCUGUGCCAGCAGCCGCGGUAAUACAGAGGGUGCGAGCGUUAAUCGGAUUUACUGGGCGUAAAGCGUGCGUAGGCGGCCAUUUAAGUCAAAUGUGAAAUCCCCGAGCUUAACUUGGGAAUUGCAUUCGAUACUGGAUGGCUAGAGUAUGGGAGAGGAUGGUAGAAUUCCAGGUGUAGCGGUGAAAUGCGUAGAGAUCUGGAGGAAUACCGAUGGCGAAGGCAGCCAUCUGGCCUAAUACUGACGCUGAGGUACGAAAGCAUGGGGAGCAAACAGGAUUAGGAUACCCUGGUAGUCCAUGCCGUAAACGAUGUCUACUAGCCGUUGGGGCCUUUGAGGCUUAGUGGCGCAGCUAACGCGAUAAGUAGACCGCCUGGGGAGUACGGUCGCAAG